rnacentral:SRP_RNA from 2 species
GCCGAGCUUGGUAACGCAAGCUUGUGACCCAAGGGGGGGCAUGAUAGUGUUGGAACGUUGGCUCAGCUUAUCGAGUUGGAUCCUUGGUGGUCGACAUCUGGCCUGUCCAUUCUAAGCAAGGAGUUGAACCACGGGACUUGUAGCUAAAGCUCUGGGUCUCGUGGCUCUAGGAGUGGAGGGUACCGCGUGAGGCUGGCUUCACAGAGCAGCGAAGACUUCCCGCUCUUGGCAGUGGAAGGAUAACAGGCCGGUGCCGCUUGGAUCCGAUAUGGCUCAGUGGGCUGAUCGUAACUGGACCAUCACCUAC